GAUGAACGCUAGCUACAGGCUUAACACAUGCAAGUCGAGGGGCAGCGGUAUCGAAAGCUUGCUUUCGGUAGCCGGCGACCGGCGCACGGGUGAGUAACGCGUAUCGAACCUGCCUCAUACUCGGGAAUAGCCUUGCGAAAGUAAGAUUAAUGCCCGGUGUUUUCAGAGUCCCGCAUGAGGCUUUGAACAAAGAUUUAUCGGUGUGAGAUGGCGAUGCGUCCCAUUAGCUUGUUGGCGGGGUAACGGCCCACCAAGGCAUCGAUGGGUAGGGGUUCUGAGAGGAAGGUCCCCCACAUUGGAACUGAGACACGGUCCAAACUCCUACGGGAGGCAGCAGUGAGGAAUAUUGGUCAAUGGGCGGAAGCCUGAACCAGCCAAGUAGCGUGCAGGAAGACGGCCCUCCGGGUUGUAAACUGCUUUUAGUUGGGAAUAAGACGGGGCUCGUGAGCCCCCUUGCAUGUACCAUCAGAAAAAGGACCGGCUAAUUCCGUGCCAGCAGCCGCAGUAA
rnacentral:rRNA from 1 species